GUUUCCCUAUAUAAGGACCCGCCCGCGGCGCCGUCAGGCUGCCAAUUUUUUCGUCACCGCACGCCGUCCUCCGCCGCAGCCUGCCUGCGCCGUCGCCCUCCGACCGUCGUCCUCCGCCGCCAUCCUCCUCGCACGCCGACCUUCGACCUCCGGCCGCCGCCACCGGCCCAUCCACCGCUACCGGCCUCCACCGCGUGCGACUAGGGGGAGGAGGAGGCGGCGGCAUCGUCGGGCUGAGGGGAGGAGGCGGCGGCAGUGGUGUCGGGCUGGGGAGGGAUCCCGACUUCGACACGCUGGCCGUGAUUGGCGAGAGUGGGAUCAAUGCGAUUAAUGAUAGUUAAAAGCGUACAGUCCUAAUGCUGGGACUCUGGAGCUGACAAAGGCUAUCUGCAAUAAGCUCCAAGGCCACAUACCAACAUCAUAAAAAAAAUCAGAGCUGCACAGGGUGUUAAGAUAUCGGCAUAGGGACCGGUCUUCAACAUGCAAUUGCAGGGACUGCUCUUUAUGUGUCAAAGCAUGAUGAUGAUCUGGACAGACUAAAUAUGUUGUGAUGAAAGAGAUGACUACGGUUAGACAUCAGAUUUAUUAGAGUGGUCAACGUGUCUAUGUACAAGCAUGUACCCUUGUGUCGUUGGAAGCGAAUAGUCAGCUAAGGCGAAGAAAAGGAAGGGCGAGAGAAGCGUGAAUAAAAAGGAUAAAGGGUUCCAUGUUGUUACACAUGUAUU